AAAAUAUUUCUGUUGUCCCAAAGAUGAUUUCUCAACAAUGCAUCAUUUUGCUGGCAGAUUUUACCUCAAAGAAUAUGAAGAGUAAUAGGCCAUAUUAUUUUAAACACAUAGUCUCUUUACUUGGCUUGGAACAGUUAAGCUCACCAUGACUUACACAAAAUUAAUUGAUGCAACCAUUAACAUUGGAAAUAUUACAGAUAUUGAUUUCAUUUGGAACAAACACUUGUGGACAUUCUCACAAUAAGUUGGGAGCAGAAUGGUGGUAGAUAUAGCUGGAAAAUAUGAAUAUAAGUUGGAGGUAUCAGGUAGCUGUCACAUUGUCGGGAGAGAAGGUUACAGGACAUGUCCUGGUUUCUUUGUAUGGAAAUUGGGGAAACUCUAAGCAGUAUGAAAUUUACAAAGGCUCUCUCAAACCAGGAAACACUCAUACUAGUCAGAUUGACUCUGAUGUGGAUGUUGGGGACUUACAGAAGGUGAAAUUUAUUUGGUACAACAAUGUGAUCAACCUAACCCUACCUAGAGUGGGAGCAUCAAGGGUCACGGUGAC